rnacentral:tRNA from 1 species
AGCAGUGUGGCUCAGUGGAAAGAGCACGGGCUUGGGAGUCAGAGGUCAUGGGUUUGAAUCCCGGCUCUGCCA